GACGAACCGUGCGAACGUUGUUCGGAAUCACUGGGUUUAAAGGGCGCGUAGGCGGGCUGUCAAGUCGGUGGUGAAAUCGUUCCGCUCAACGGGACAAUGGCCUUCGAUACUGGCGGCCUGGAGGGAGGUAGGGGCAUGCGGAACUUCCGGUGGAGCGGUGAAAUGCGUAGAGAUCCGGAGGAACACCGACGGCGUAGGCAGCGCCCUAGACGAGACCUGACGCUCAGGCACGAAAGCGCGGGGAGCGAACAGG
rnacentral:rRNA from 1 species